GGCUUCCAAGUGCUUACCACAGGCUUCGCGCUUUGCAUCUACUGUGUAGAAAGAGGAAACACAGUAAUCCCACCCCAUACACACCCCGGCCUAAGCCUUUUGCUUGGUCUUUAUUGUUAAUGGUGAGGCUGGG